ACAGGUUGCUAACAGGGAUGUCAAUCUGAAUUUUCGCUAUUGCCACACACCAUUUAGAGAGUUUGUCUCUAGUGGGAGGCAAAUGCAUUUAUGGAUUAAACCUGGCAUUGAGGAGAUGGUUAUUCUAUUUUUGAUGAGAUAGUCAAAAUGUUUGAUUUUUUCAAAAUAUAGAUGAACCAUGUGUAUGUGCAAGAAGAUAGGUGCGAGUCCCACUAACU
rnacentral:lncRNA from 1 species